rnacentral:rRNA from 1 species
GGGGACCCGCACAAGCGGUGGAUGAUGUGGAUAAUUCGAUGCAACGCGAAAACCUUACCUACCCUUGACAUGCCAGGAACCCUGCUGAGAGGUGGGGGUGCCCGAAAGGGAACCUGGACACAGGUGCUGCAUGGCUGUCGUCAGCUCGUGUCGUGAGAUGUUGGGUUAAGUCCCGCAACGAGCGCAACCCUUGUCAUUAGUUGCCAUCAUUCAGUUGGGCACUCUAAUGAGACUGCCGGUGACAAACCGGAGGAAGGUGGGGAUGACGUCAAGUCCUCAUGGCCCUUAUGGGUAGGGCUUCACACGUCAUACAAUGGUCGGUACAGAGGGUUGCCAAGCCGCGAGGUGGAGCCAAUCCCAGAAAGCCGAUCGUAGUCCGGAUCGGAGUCUGCAACUCGACUCCGUGAAGUCGGAAUCGCUAGUAAUCGUGGAUCAGCAUGCCACGGUGAAUACGUUCCCGGGUCUU